GUUAUACUAUUGAAGCAAGCAUAUUAAGUUUAUAAUAUUAAUUUAUGAAUUUUGAAAAUGAGAAAUUUUGAUAUGGUGAAAUAAUUCAAAAUGAAUGAUUCUAAAAAUAAAUUUUUAAAACUUUGUUUAAAAACUAGGAUUAGAUACCCUAUUAUUAAAAUAUUAUUAAUUAAGUAGUAAGGAAAUCUCUGAAACUUAAAGAAUUUGGCGGUGUUUUAAAUAAUUGGAGGAACCUGUUAUUUAAUUGAUAAUCCACAACAUAUCUUACCUUAUAUUAUGUUUGUAUAUCGUUGUUUGGAUGAUAUCUAAAGAUAAUAAUCAAGAUCAAGACUUUUUUAAAUAUCAAAUCAAGGUGCAGCAUUUUAAGGUUAUAAUGGGUUACAAUAUAAGUCAUGUAAUAUGAAUAAAUAUAAAAAUAAAUAUUUUGAAGGUGGAUUCAAAAGUAAUAAAAAAUUAGUAAGU
rnacentral:rRNA from 1 species